rnacentral:misc_RNA from 1 species
UUUCCGUAGGUGAACCUGCGGAAGGAUCAUUACAGAGUUCAUGCCCCACGGGUAGAUCUCCCACCCUUGAAUAUUUAUACCUUAGUUGCUUUGGCAGGCCGUGGAAACACCAUGGGCUCCGGCUUAUGCGUGCCUGCCAGAGGAAACAAACUCUGUUUUUAGCGAUGUCUGAGUACUAUAUAAUAGUUAAAACUUUCAACAACGGAUCUCUUGGUUCUG